AGAGUUUGUUCCUGGCUCAGGAUGAACGCUGGCGGCGUGCUUAACACAUGCAAGUCGAACGAAGCACUGGAGAACGAAUCUUCGGAGGAAGUCUCCUUUGACUGAGUGGCGGACGGGUGAGUAACGCGUGGGUAACCCGCCUCACACAGGGGGAUAACAGUCGGAAACGACCGCUAAUACCGCAUAAGCCGGAAGGAUCGCAUGAUCCGGCCGGAAAAGAUUUAUCGGUAUGAGAUGGACCCGCGUCUGAUUAGCCAGUUGGCAGGGUAACGGCCUACCAAAGCGACGAUCAGUAGCCGGCCUGAGAGGGUGAACGGCCACAUUGGGACUGAGACACGGCCCAAACUCCUACGGGAGGCAGCAGUGGGGAAUAUUGCACAAUGGGGGAAACCCUGAUGCAGCGACGCCGCGUGAGUGAAGAAGUAUUUCGGUAUGUAAAGCUCUAUCAGCAGGGAAGAAAAUGACGGUACCUGACUAAGAAGCCCCGGCUAACUACGUGCCAGCAGCCGCGGUAAUACGUAGGGGGCAAGCGUUAUCCGGAUUUACUGGGUGUAAAGGGAGCGUAGACGGCCAGACAAGUCAGAAGUGAAAGCCCAGGGCUCAACCCUGGGACUGCUUUUGAAACUGCCGGGCUGGAGUGCAGGAGAGGUAAGCGGAAUUCCUAGUGUAGCGGUGAAAUGCGUAGAUAUUAGGAGGAACACCAGUGGCGAAGGCGGCUUACUGGACUGUAACUGACGUUGAGGCUCGAAAGCGUGGGGAGCAAACAGGAUUAGAUACCCUGGUAGUCCACGCCGUAAACGAUGA
rnacentral:rRNA from 1 species